rnacentral:rRNA from 1 species
UACGUAGGGUGCGAGCGUUAAUCGGAAUUACUGGGCGUAAAGCGUGCGCAGGCGGCGCGUUAAGACAGGUGUGAAAGCCCCGAGCUUAACUUGGGAAUUGCGCUUGUGACUGGCGUGCUGGAGUGUGGCAGAGGGAGGUGGAAUUCCACGUGUAGCAGUGAAAUGCGUAGAGAUCAUGAGGAAGACCAGUGGCGAAGGCGGGUCUCUGGACAGUUCCUGACACUGAGACACGAAGGCCAGGGGAGCAAACGGG